AAUUUGCCUUCAUAAAUUUCACAUAGGGCUCUCUCUUUUCCUUCUGCCAGUACCACCAGAACCACUCGCUGCCGAAGCUGGGCACCGCGAACACGCCCCAGUGGAUGAAGACGCCGAACUUGGCCUCGUCAAACCAGGUGGGCAGCGGACGGGCGUCUAGCGAGGCCCAGGUGGGCUCGUAGCGGGGCCGCCCACCCAGCAGCCCCGGCAGCGCCAGCAGCAGCACGGAAGGCAGGAGGCCCG
rnacentral:lncRNA from 1 species